ACAUUGUGAUAUCAGAGUCUCCAUUCUUUUUCACAUACCCAUGGGUCCUCUCUGAGCCAAUAUCAUGAAGGAGGUUAUGAAAAUAACAACAUGACAGUCAGGAUGAUGACAGCUUGAGGGAGUUUGUGAAGUGGUCAAAUGAAAAAGAAUGGGAGACUCAAUAUCAUCUCUUGGACAGAAGUAAGCUGUUCCAAGACAUGGAAAGUCCUCAGAGGAGCAGACUGGAAAUGCAGUGAAAAAAUUAGAGAGGAAACCAGUGUGGCUGCAUGAAGUGAGAAGCUUACUCCAUCACAUGUCUCCCACCGUGAUCUACUGCCUCACCACAGACCCAGAAACAACAUGGCCUAGGAACCAUGUCCUGAAAUCUCUACAACUGCACCCCACGCUCUGGCUUCACUGGAAUGCUGCUGGGGCUCUGCAUCAAUGAAUUUCAACAUGCAAGUCAUGAACCACUCAGAAGAUCCUUCCAAUGGGCCUCAGGCUGAUUCCAAAGGCAAAUACUUGUUCUAGUUAUUUUGAAGUGAGA
rnacentral:lncRNA from 1 species